rnacentral:tRNA from 1 species
GCCUUCGUGGUGUAACGGUUAGCACAUUCGGCGUGUAUUUGAAAGGUCCAGGUUCGAGUCCUGGCGAGGGCA